rnacentral:lncRNA from 1 species
CCCCGCCCUGGAUCGUGUGUCUGGUCCUGAAAGGUGUGUGCGGGUCUGUAUGAAAUACCGCAAACACAGGCCUUGUUUGAGCCUGAAGGCGGAUCAAUUGCUGUCUGUGGUGGUUAAAGAAACGAACGCAAUUAACGUAGGCGUGGACGGUGCAUGCCUUUUGAAGGCUUUAAGUUUUUGUAAUUAUCAAAUAUAUCGACAGUCAUAAUAUCGACUGAAGAUCUCCAAGUUCUUAAAUCACGUCCGUUGUGUGUUCAUCAGCUCCUCGUGGUGCGCAAUGUGGACCACGGCGCUUUUAGCCAUUGUUGUUUGUUCUGUGAGUAGCGAUAAAAACCUGGAGGACAAGGGCCGCCUGGAGCUGCAGCGGGUCCGGGAACUGUCGCAGCAGCCGCGGUAUGGCGCCUGUUGGUCUCGAGCUCUGGAGAAAAUACAAACAAGCUGUAAGGAGUUCAGUGAUGAUGUGCAGAGCAAGAUCGCCUUGUCCUUCACACACUGCCACCUGCAAAGGUCCGGUCGUAGUUUCCCAGAAUGCACAGAAGACAGUGAUGUCAAAACCUGCACCCAAGACAUGGACCCUGUGGCCUUCAACACCUACACCGAGUUUUUCACCCAUGCCCACAGCAUAUGCCAUUAUUUGCAGAGCGAGCGCUGGCAGCAACGAGCCCAGAGCACCAUUCACAGGUUGAAAAAGCUCCCUAGAUGCUGAUUUUGAAUGUGAAGGGUAGUUAUGUGCAUAAAAUAUUAAUGUGAGCCGAUGUUUAUCUGGGUUUUAGGUUGACUGAGAGUUCAGCGGGUGUAGCGGAGCAGUUGGCGUCCACCCAGCGGAUGGCAGAGGAUCUGGUUGUGGCCCAAAGUGCUGCGCUGAAAUCCCAGGAGAGCAUCCUUCGCAAUGGAGAGGAGCUCAAGAGCACCCUGCAGGACUCGACUCAAGGUUUGAUUGCUUUCUAAAUGAGAUGAUUAUUCAGAAAGGCGGCAACACCAGAGCUCCUAAAGCCU